UAGCAUGGUCGCCAUGUGGUGUGGUC
rnacentral:sRNA from 1 species